AGAGCGAACGCUGGCGGCAGGCCUAAAACAUGCAAGUCGAACGGACCCUUCGGGGUUAGUGGCGGACGGGUGAGUAACACGUGGGAACGUGCCUUUUGGUUCAGAACAACUCAGGGAAACUUGAGCUAAUACUGAAUAAGCCCUACGGGGGAAAGAUUUAUCGCCAUUAGAGCGGCCCGCGUUGGAUUAGCUAGUUGGUGAGGUAAAGGCUCACCAAGGCUACGAUCCAUAGCUGGUCUGAGAGGAUGAUCAGCCACACUGGGACUGAGACACGGCCCAGACUCCUACGGGAGGCAGCAGUUAGGAAUCUUGCGCAAUGGGCGAAAGCCUGACGCAGCCAUGCCGCGUGAAUGAUGAAGGUCUUAGGAUUGUAAAAUUCUUCAGCGGGAAGAUAAUGACUGUACCCGCAGAAGAAGCUCCGGCUAACUUCGCGCUAGCAGCCGC
rnacentral:rRNA from 1 species